CGGUGCGGCCCAAUCAGCGUUUUCUUAAAUUCACAUUUACAAAACGAUCUUCAUAUAGUAUAAUAGCCGUAUCGACUUAUGCAGUCGUGAUUUAUGGCAGUCUCCGGGUCCCGUGCAAUGGGAUCCCAUGAAUCUUGUCAGGUCCGAGAGGAAGCAGCAAUAAGUGGCUCUUUCCAUGUGCCACGGUGCAUCCUGGAGGCUGUCAUAAAUCACGCUUGCAUAAGUCUUUUUUAUUGCACCG
rnacentral:SRP_RNA from 1 species